CAGUACUCGUCACAUACAAGCUUAUGCUGCUGCUUUUUAGUUUUUUUUUUACCUAUUUAUUAUUCUGGGGUCCUUAUCCAAUUGGGAAUUUCGGGCCUCUGCUGUAUUUGGGAGUUCUAGGGUUUCCACUCUCUUUAUUUUCCGUGUAUCUAGGGAUUUGGGGACUAGGGCUUUCGCUUAGCAUGGAGUCUGAUAAAGGCAAACUGUUUGUGGGAGGAUAUCUCGGGAG